GCAUAACGCGAAGAACCUUACCCACCUUUGACAUGUACGGAAUCCUUUAGAGAUAGAGGAGUGCUCGAAAGAGAGCCGUAACACAGGUGCUGCAUGGCUGUCGUCAGCUCGUGUCGUGAGAUGUUGGGUUAAGUCCCGCAACGAGCGCAACCCUUGCCAUUAGUUGCUACGAAAGGGCACUCUAAUGGGACUGCCGGUGACAAACCGGAGGAAGGUGGGGAUGACGUCAAGUCCUUAUGGCCCUUAUAGGUGGGGCUACACACGUCAUACAAUGGCUGGUACAGAGGGUUGCCAACCCGCGAGGGGGAGCCAAUCCCACAAAGCCAGUCGUAGUCCGGAUCGCAGUCUGCAACUCGACUGCGUGAAGUCGGAAUCGCUAGUAAUCGCGGAUCAGAAUGUCGCGGUGAAUACGUUCCCGGGUC
rnacentral:rRNA from 1 species